UACGGGGGGGGCAAGCGUUGUUCGGAAUUACUGGGCGUAAAGGGCUCGUAGGUGGCCAACUAAGUCAGACGUGAAAUCCCUCGGCUUAACCGGGGAACUGCGUCUGAUACUGGAUGGCUUGAGUUUGGGAGAGGGAUGCGGAAUUCCAGGUGUAGCGGUGAAAUGCGUAGAUAUCUGGAGGAACACCGGUGGCGAAGGCGGCAUCCUGGACCGGCAUUGACGCUGAGGCGCGAAAGCGUGGGGAGCGAACAGG
rnacentral:rRNA from 1 species